rnacentral:lncRNA from 1 species
GACUCGCUUAAACCUUUCUGAGUCUCAUUUUCUUCAUUUAUAAAAUAAAAGACAUAACAUUUAUGUCAGAUAUUGUCCUGAGCAUUAAAUGGGAGAAUAAACAAGCCUCUUCUGCAUUCCCCUGGCUUCCAGUGGGUGAAGGCCAGAGAAGCUGCUAAACAUCCUGCCAGGUGCAGGACAGCCCCCAUCGCAAAGAAUUGUCUGGCCCCUGAUGUCAGUAAUGCAGUAUUGAGGAACGUUCCUCCUCUGUGCAUUAACAAUGGCAUUGACGCCUGCUUUGCGGGACGCUGGGAGGGGAGAGGAGGCCAAGGCGGAUGGAUCAUUUAAGGUCAGGAGUUCGAGACCAGCCUGGGCAACACGGCGAAACCCCAUCUCUACCAAAAAUACAAAAAUUACUCAGGUGUGGUGGCACAAGCGUGUGGUCCCAGCUACUCGGGAGGCUGAAGUGGGAGGAUCGUUUGAGCCCGUGAAGUUGGGCUGCAGUGAGCUG